ACUGCUCAGUAACACGUGGACAACCUGCCCUUAGGUUGGAUAUAAACCCGGGAAACUGGGUAUAAUACCCGAUAGGUCUCGAUUGCUGGAAUGCAUCGAGAUUUAAAGCUCCGGCGCCUAAGGAUGGGUCUGCGGCCUAUCAGGUAGUAGUGGGUGUAGCGUACCUACUAGCCUACGACGGGUACGGGUUGUGAGAGCAAGAGCCCGGAGAUGGAUUCUGAGACACGAAUCCAGGCCCUACGGGGUGCAGCAGGCGCGAAAACUUUACAAUGCUGGCAACAGCGAUAAGGGAACCUCGAGUGCCAGGUUACAAAUCUGGCUGUCGAGAUGCCUAAAAAGCAUUUCAUAGCAAGGGCCGGGCAAGACCGGUGCCAGCCGCCGCGGUAACACCGGCGGCUCGAGUGGUAACCGUUAUUAUUGGGUCUAAAGGGUCUGUAGCCGGCCGGAUAAGUCUCUUGAGAAAUCUGGCAGCUUAACUGUCAGGCUUUCAGGAGAUACUGUCUGGCUCGAGGCCGGGAGAGGUGAGAGGUACUUCAGGGGUAGGGGUGAAAUCUUGUAAUCCUUGAAGGACCACCAGUGGCGAAGGCGUCUCACCAGAACGGACCUGACGGCAAGGGACGAAAGCUAGGGGCACGAACCGGAUUAGAUACCCGGGUAGUCCUAGCCGUAAACGAUACUCGCUAGGUGUCGGCCACGGUGCGACCGUUGUCGGUGCCGUAGGGAAGCCGUGAAGCGAGCCACCUGGGAAGUACGGCCGCAAGGCUGAAACUUAAAGGAAUUGGCGGGGGAGCAC
rnacentral:rRNA from 1 species